rnacentral:snRNA from 2 species
GUGCUCGCUUCAGCAGCACAGAUACUAAAAUUGGAAUGAUACAGAGAAGAUUAGCAUGGCCCCUGCGCAAGAAUGACACGCAAAUUCGUGAAGCGUUCUAUAUUAAA